rnacentral:rRNA from 1 species
UACACUCCUACGGGAGGCAGCAGUAGGGAAUCUUCCACAAUGGGUGCAAACCUGAUGGAGCAAUGCCGCGUGAGUGAAGAAGGUCUUCGGAUCGUAAAGCUCUGUUGUUAGAGAAGAACACGUGCUAGGUAACUACUAGCGCCUUGACGGUAUCUAACCAGAAAGUCACGGCUAACUACGUGCCAGCAGCCGCGGUAAUACGUAGGUGACAAGCGUUGUCCGGAUUUAUUGGGCGUAAAGGGAGCGCAGGCGGUCUGUUUAGUCUAAUGUGAAAGCCCACGGCUUAACCGUGGAACGGCAUUGGAAACUGACAGACUUGAAUGUAGAAGAGGAAAAUGGAAUUCCAAGUGUAGCGGUGGAAUGCGUAGAUAUUUGGAGGAACACCAGUGGCGAAGGCGAUUUUCUGGUCUAACAUUGACGCUGAGGCUCGAAAGCGUGGGGAGCGAACAGGAUUAGAUACCCUAGUAGUCCCAUG